rnacentral:rRNA from 1 species
AGUGAACGCUGGCGGCAGGCCUAACACAUGCAAGUCGAACGGCAGCACAGGAGAGCUUGCUCUCUGGGUGGCGAGUGGCGGACGGGUGAGGAAUACAUCGGAAUCUACCCUUUCGUGGGGGAUAACGUAGGGAAACUUACGCUAAUACCGCAUACGAUCUGAGGAUGAAAGCAGGGGACCGCAAGGCCUUGCGCGAUUGGAUGAGCCGAUGUCCGAUUAGCUCGUUGGCGGGGUAAAGGCCCACCAAGGCGACGAUCGGUAGCUGGUCUGAGAGGAUGAUAAGCCACACGGGAACGGAGACAGGGUCCAGACUCCUACGGGAGGCAGCAGUGGGGAAUAUUGGACAAUGGGCGCAAGCCUGAUCCAGCCAUGCCGCGUGUGUGAAGAAGGCCUUCGGGUUGUAAAGCACUUUUGUUGGGAAAGAAAUCCUGUCGGCUAAUACCCGGCGGGGAUGACGGUACCCAAAGAAUAAGCACCGGCUAACUUCGUGCCAGCCGCCGCCGUAA